rnacentral:rRNA from 1 species
CGGCCAGACUCCUACGGGAGGCAGCAGUGGGGGAUAUUGCACAAUGGGGGAAACCCUGAUGCAGCGACGCCGCGUGAGUGAAGAAGUAUUUCGGUAUGUAAAGCUCUAUCAGCAGGGAAGAAGAUGACAGUACCUGAGUAAGAAGCCCCGGCUAACUACGUGCCAGCAGCCGCGGUAAUACGUAGGGGGCAAGCGUUAUCCGGAUUUACUGGGUGUAAAGGGCGUGUAGCCGGGCUGACAAGUCAGAUGUGAAAUCCGGGGGCUCAACCCCCGAACUGCAUUUGAAACUGUUGGUCUUGAGUAUCGGAGAGGCAGGCGGAAUUCCUAGUGUAGCGGUGAAAUGCGUAGAUAUCAGGAGGAACACCGGCGGCGAAGGCGGCCUGCUGGACCGCGACUGACGUUGAGGCUCGAAAGCGUGGGGAGCGAACAGGAUUAGAUACCCUCGUA